ensembl:rRNA 5S_rRNA 5S ribosomal RNA
ACCAGCAGCCAUAUCACCCUGCAGCCCAAGACUAGUUGCCCACUGAAGCUAAGCAGGGUUGUACCUGGAUGGGAGACCUCCUGGGAAAACGAGGUUACUGCUGGAA